UUUUUCUGAAGAACACCUUGUCACCGGCAAUCUGCGCUGUCUGUUAUGGUCGACGGAAGUAUCUAGGUAUUGCUCACCACCACCACUAAUAACUCCUCAGAGAAGCGGCUAGUAUGACUUCAAAACAGCUGAAGGACAUGGAUGAAGCCCUGCUCGAACAGCAUGAAACCCGGCCAGCACCGAAGGACCGUGAAAGCCAUGGCCCCUCAUUGCUUACUUUGACUGGCUUUGGAUUCCUGACUUUCAACUCGGGAAUGGCGGUUUACAGGUCGAAUGGAGACUUGUCAGCGAUCUCUUUUGUGGGCUUUUCCUACCUGGUCCUCGUUAUGCUCUUCUACUGCGUGCGUUGCUAUGAGAGGACACCCGCAGAGUCACCCCGUCGGGAACAACUGAAGAUGGCAGUGUGGCUUCUCACCACAAUGCUCACUGCUGCUUUCUCAUACAAGGUGGCUGCAAUCAUGCCGUUCCCAUUGCAGGUACUAGUGUGGGCCAUGGCUGGCGCGACCAUCCUUGGUGGUUUCUAUGCCUUCUUCCUGCAUGAGGAGGGCACAAAGGCAUAAUCAGGUAUAACUAUAAUUGAUCCCUUGCUUUGAUUCUUCUGUCAAAAGAAAUUAACCAUGCAUCAUUUUUUCAACCUAGAAUCUUCCGACUUCUUAUUCUCUCUAUAUAAAACCGCACUCCACCAUGAGGUACCGUGGUGUGCCGAGAUUUCAGCCAGACUGUGCAAUGCCGCUAUCUGCACGGAUAGGGUUGGUCAGUUGAAUCCAUACAAAGAUUAGAUUUUAGUUGCAGCAAAGGCACACCAGCACAUUUAUGGGGAAUGAAAGGUCAAGCUGGUCAUGAUCAUUGCAAUCUAUGAAUUGGGCAUGGAUCCGCUCACCUGCCUCCAGAUCUAGGGAAGUAUUCAUGGCUGCAUGAGAUGUGGAUCAGCAUCUGUGAAAGGUGAACGGUAGGAAUUGCACCCGAGAUCAGUUGUUCCACCUGCUACAACGAAUCACUGUACUCAGACUGAUGGGCAUUACACAAUAAAAAAUGAGAGGGAAUGAAGCAUAAAGCACGUAUUACAUUGCAGGAUUGGACCAUAUAUACUGUAUUCCAAUCGAUUCAGGAUUGGACCCAGUAAGCAAAGAUUUUGGCAUGAUCUGUCUCCAUGACACUAGUCUUACAUUGCAGUAUUGCACCACUAAAUUUCACCUCGACAACUGCCUCGACUGAAGAAGCAUCAAUUGUGCAAACGCCUAAUUCCAUUACUAGGGGUAUAUGGUGAACAAUACUGUGGUCAGGCAAUCAGCCUCGCAGCCAGAGCCCAAUCAACUAAAAUCGAGACAAUGACAGGACUUGACAUGUAACAAUGUUUGAAACAUGAUUAGGUCCAUGCCCUGUUUGGAACACCUGAACUUCGCAUAGGAUUUCUGCGGGAAUCAUAAGUGAAAUUGUUAUUUUCCAAGUGCUGCCUCGUCGCUGCAUUUUUGUGCUCCAGUCUUUUCCCACGUCACUUGCACAAAUUGCAUUGGCAUCCACACUGCAGCUGCAGAUUACUCCUACCCCCUGCUCAUAUUUUGGAAGAAAAUGCAUGUUUCUGAUCAGCAGGCUAACUCUUAACUCUGGUUCACAUGUACAGGUCAGUUGAUGCCUUGUGGGAGCCGAAGGAUAAACUGUACUACAGUCAUGUCUAUCGGCUGCGGUCGGCUGUCGAUACGGUAAUGAAGUCCACCCAGAAAAAAAAUGAAAAAAAGCGAAAAAAAAUCAUGAGCAUACUUCGUAAUAAUGUUACUCGGGCGUACUAAAUUCGCUGUUGACGCUCCCGUUCUAAUAUUGAGUGUGUGCGUGUGUGCUACUACUAGUUUUCUCAACUUUGCAUGCAUGUAUUAUCAGAGUGUGAUGCUUGAGAAAUUUAGCGUGUGUACUGUAAUAAUAAAAUUAUUGUAUUAAUUACUAUUCAGAGGGCUUCCUAAAAGAACAUUUCGCAUUUGCCUUAUGUCGGCUAGGGCCUGUUGGAAGGGCUAAGUGGCCAUUGCAUUUGCACUGGCAUGGGCUUGAUU
rnacentral:lncRNA from 1 species